UACGAAGGGGGCUAGCGUUGCUCGGGAUCACUGGGCGUAAAGCGCACGUAGGCGGCUUCUUAAGUCAGGGGUGAAAUCCUGGAGCUCAACUCCAGAACUGCCUUUGAUACUGAGGAGCUUGAGUCCGGGAGAGGUGAGUGGAACUGCGAGUGUAGAGGUGAAAUUCGUAGAUAUUCGCAAGAACACCAGUGGCGAAGGCGGCUCACUGGCCCGGUACUGACACUGAGGUGCGAAAGCGUGGGGAGCAAACAGGAUUAGAUACCCUUGUAGU
rnacentral:rRNA from 1 species